GCCUGGGUACCCGUUACCAAAAAUGAGGACUGAUCUGAUAUGACUUGGCAUAUUUUAACGAUUUUUUUAGCGGUUUUGAACGACGAGAAAGGCGAAAAUACUUUAGUUAGAAAUAUAUAAAAAAAGCAUCAUUAUACGGCAAAAGUGUCAGCUAAAUUUUGAUAAAAGGAAGUUCGACAAAUUAGGAAAUACUGCUCUUACGUGCUUCCUGUUACAAAUGCGACACAUUUUCAGAUUAAUCUCUGAUCGAAAGAUAUAUAUAACCUGACUCUGGAAAACAAACAUUGUUUUCAAUGUUUUAAGACCGGCGGCGCGCAAUUAAUUUGUCUAGCUAUUUCGCAUUCUUUUCCUCUGAGGAAGAAUUAUACUCGUUCAGUGCUAAAACCCUAAGCUCUCCGGUAACCGAUUGAUUAAAAAGCCAUCGCUCCCAAAUUAUUUUCAAUGCAUUAUAUCACUGUAGAAGUAGCUAGAAGUUAAUACGGCCAUUUAGAAUCAUAAAGUCUGUAGGCGUCUCUUUUCUCUUGUAAUCUUCCUGAAGAAAUGGAUAAUGACAAUAAUUGAGGAUGUUAUACUGUAUUCAUAGCAUUACGUUGAGUGGUUAAAUCGUUGAACAAUCCAAUCUCACUUGAUCAUGAUAGGGUCUUUAAGUGCACUUAACUGUACUCUUCUUCCGUUCACUAAGUAAACGAGACUUAACUUGUUAAUUUAUCUAAAGACAGAUACGAAAAAUCUCCAUUUUUUUUUAAUGUAAACUACUAACAGAAACGAAAACGUUGUCAUCAAAGAAUCUAUCAUCUUUUCCUCGAGCCAUUUCAAGUUAUCCUGAAGUUCCGUUCGAACAUUUAAAUUACCACUAAAAAAAGUUAUCUUUCGCAAUUUAUUCGUAAAGUCUACAGCUGCCUCUUUAGCCAGCAAAAAUAUUGUUCUUCCUCUGGUUUUGUCCCCAUCUGUUCCUCCUUGAACGUCACUCAAAAGCACGUGCCGUAACAAUGGUUUCCGAACGGAUGGACAAGGCGCGAAAGCGACAAAACAUUGAGCGCAGCGAACUGACGAGACAAGGAAACUUCGGCUGGACAACAUUCAGGAAGCUGAUAGUAUAGUACACGUCACUUCCAGGCAACACGUAGGCGGACUCGUUAUAAAACUGCGCUGGCAGUUAUCGACUCUAAAACAAACACAUCAGGAGUGACCGAAGAAGGCCGACGCCAACUAUUCGCUCGUAAAUCAGCUGACAUUCGUCUUAAAAACGCGAGGAGAAAAAUUAGAUCAGCCACAAUAUUCACAGACUGGGAUGGAAAGGAAAGCACUUGCUGUAUUUGGAAUACUAAUAUUAAUCACAGUCGCUGUACUUUUAACGGACGCUCAAAAACGUCGCUCGAAGAGACCGCCAUGGUACGCAAGACGGUUUACCCGACGUAAGCCAACAAAAGCUAUGCCCGGAGGGAGUAGUGGUGUACAAAUCAAUCCUGUCAGGCCGGCACAAAAUGACAAUCCAAACGAACAACAAGAUUUUGAUAGCCCGGAGGACGCUCAAGAAUAUUGGAGAGUUAUUUAUGAAAAUGGGGAUAUAUCUCAACCUUCGGAGCCUGGAUUUUGACGGGAACGGACAACUGUUAAAUUAUAAGUGGUUAUAAAUAUAUUAUAGUUUUGUAAAAGUUGUAAAUUUAUUGCAUUAAAUUAUAAUAAUAAAAAAUUGACUGCUAUUGAAUUAAUUUCUGUUACGUACUUGCCUUCCUUAACUACGGAUAUUUUUUUCCCAAAUUCAUUGCAUGUAAGGUAUUUGGAUUCGUGGGCACUUAAGCUAAAAUGAUAUUCAGAUUCCUAACCACUCCUU